GACACAGAUCUAAAAUCAGAUUAGCCAAACCAAUGCCUAAUCAAAGUUAUUAGGUCUUAGUGACACUAAACUGCUCUUAAAUCAGUGUCUGCGUCAACUCCCUUUCUGCCACACAGAUGACAGAGACACAAAUGGGCACAGAACUGACUGUCAAGGUGACCAUGGACACUUUUUGUGCUGGGACUAUGGACUGCCUUCUGAGCCUCGUGGAUAAAGAAAGAGAGGCUUGGUAGAGAGCGAGUGUUCUGGUCUAUAACACAUAUACUAAUAAAAUCCAUGAGUGGGAGUAAAACCCACAGUGAGGAAAGAAAGCUACAGGUAAAGGAGUUGGGUAAUAAAAGGCGUGAGAACAUGUGACUCAGCCACAUAUAUAUAUAUAUAUAUAUAUAUAUAUAUAGAGAGAGAGAGAGAGAGAGAGAGAGAGAGGAUACUGGCACAGUUUAGCAGAAUCAAAGAUAUUUAUGAGCCCACAGCAAGCACAUAUACACAUGCUUUCUUAGAAACACACAGUCACACACAUACAGAAGAGCAGAAAGAUCUUUGCCAAUCUAAGGCCAGAGAGACAGUGUACUCUAAUGAAUAAUACAUUUGUUAACAUUUAAGGACUCCAAACAGCCUGCAACGCUGGCGGUUCAUAGCAGACAUACAGCUUACCGGGCACAGGCACUCACAUCAACACAUGAUUUACAUGAAAGUGAAGAAAACCCUGAGACCCCUAAUAGCUUCACAUGAUUUCAGCAAAGGGUGUCUUUUCCAACAAAGUCAAGAGAUUGAAAAUCUUACAAGUGACAAUAAUGUCUAAUUUGUUUUCCUCCAGAUAAAAUUUUUAUCAUGCCAGACUUCAUUCUAACCAUGCUGAUCCUUAAUUACUUUUGCUCCUAUCACUACUCUACUACACAAUCAUACCAAAUCUGUACAAUAUAUAUAUAUAUAUCUUACUGCGAUGCCCAAUAGAAUAUGAGUUAGCAUUGAGAAGAAGAUCCUUGACCUUGGAAUAAGUAGCAAGUAAAUAUGAAGAUUUUUUUGAAAGAAGCAGAGGGAGAAAUGGUGAUGAAUAAAGAUGCACUGAUUGUUUAAAAUUAAGUUUGAUUGACCCUGACGCUGACCGGACGGUCUAAAACAUAAAAAUCUGAUUGUUUUCCAAUCAGUAAACUCACCAUAUUUAAGUGCUACAGGGUCCUUCUGACAACAAUACACUUUGGAGAAGAUUAUGUUUAUGAGAAAAUAAGACUUAAAAUUAGUUAAAGAAAUUAUAGAUAUGUAAGAAAUAGAGGUGUAAUCAGAUUUUGGGGCAUAGAACACUUGUUUGAGACUCUUAUUUUGAAGUGCAAAAGGAAGCUGUAAAGCUGUUGCCCUGUUAGACUGACAGAAUUGUUAGCCCGAAUUGGCUAACAAGGACAUGGCUAAAGACAUAUUUAGCCUAAUAACACCCUGUUACAAAAGAUAACACCAAUAUACCAACAUUACGUCAAAGUUGCUGAGUUUUAUCAUAUUGAGCUUUCAUCAUCAGUCCGUUAUACAACUGGAUUUGGAAAUGUUGGCAGCCUGAAAAUCUCAGAGUUAAGGACAUCCGGACUGAGGUAUUGAGGCUGUAUUAUUAUAUCUGGUGGAAUUAUUUUACCUCAACAAAACCAAAGAAAGACAAAAAAAGAGCAGCAGGUGACCUCCACACUUCAAAAACUGGAGGACUGUCUUGGCAUCUUCAUUAGGUACAAAUCCAGAUGAGUUGGAUCUGAAAGCUGAAGCUAACAACUACCAGCUACAACGACCCGGAGGGGCCAAGGCCAAAGCAGACUUCUACCAUCCAAAAACAACUCUAAUAUCAAAAACAUCAGUUGUUCAUUUCAUGUUUCAGACGGAUAUUGUUGGUGACGCACCUCCAUUUACCCUGUGAACAACCAAUGGCCUUAGUGCCAAUACUGACCAUUGCAAAACUGGUUAAAGUCCACCUUGGUCUUGUCUUCCGGACUAGCCAUUACCAUUAGCUUCUACGAAGAAAUCUAGAUUUAUAACCUAAACAGUUAUCUACUGCAGGUAGUACACCUCCUAGCUGGCUGGACAUCUGUUGUCUAGCAACUCCUGCACCAAUCAGAACGUCAGGCCUUCAGUUCCCCUCUGCAGUGGAACCAGCCUUGCAUGCAAAUGGCAGACAUCCCGAGAGUUCCCAUGCAACUAACAAACUCUAAAGAAUGCAUGGCAGAAAACUAGUUCUGUGAGCGUAAUCAUCAUCCAAGCUUUUAAUUUGGAGUCGUUUG